rnacentral:rRNA from 1 species
GAUGAACGCUGGCGGCGUGCCUAAUACAUGCAAGUCGAGCGAACGGACGAGAAGCUUGCUUCUCUGAUGUUAGCGGCGGACGGGUGAGUAACACGUGGAUAACCUACCUAUAAGACUGGGAUAACUUCGGGAAACCGUAGCUAAUACCGGAUAAUAUUUUGAACCGCAUGGUUCAAAAGUGAAAGACGGUCUUGCUGUCACUUAUAGAUGGAUCCGCGCUGCAUUAGCUAGUUGGUAAGGUAACGGCUUACCAAGGCAACGAUGCAUAGCCGACCUGAGAGGGCGAUCGGCCACACUGGAACUGAGACACGGUCCAGACUCCUACGGGAGGCAGCAGUAGGGAAUCUUCCGCAAUGGCGAAAGCCUGACGGAGCAACGCCGCGUGAGUGAUGAAGGUCUUCGGAUCGUAAAACUCUGUUAUUAGGGAAGAACAAAUGUGUAAGUAACUAUGCACGUCUUGACGGUACCUAAUCAGAAAGCCACGGCUAACUACGUG